UACGAAGGGUGCAAGCGUUACUCGGAAUUACUGGGCGUAAGCGUGCGUAGGCGGUUCGUUAAGUCUGUCGUGAAAGCCCUGGGCUCAACCUGGGAAUUGCGAUGGAUACUGGCGAGCUAGAGUACGGUAGAGGAUGGUGGAAUUCCCGGUGUAGCGGUGAAAUGCGUAGAGAUGUGGAGGAACACCGAUGGCGAAGGCAGCCUCCUGGGCCAGCACUGACGCUCAUGCACGAAAGCGUGGGGAGCAAACAGG
rnacentral:rRNA from 1 species